rnacentral:rRNA from 1 species
AAGGGCACCACAAGAACGCGUGGAGCAUGUGGCUUAAUUUGACUCAACGCGGGAAAACUUACCGGGUCCGGACACACUGAGGAUUGACAGGCGAUUAAAGUAAAGAUGCGAGUCCUUUCAUGAUUGUGUGAUAGGUGGUGCAUGGCCGUUCUUAGUUCGUGGAGUGAUCUGUCUGCUUAAUUGCGUUUCACUACUAUAAAGGGGACUGCGUACCGCGGUGUACUAUGUAUGCCAGUCGCAGUAAUUAUAUUCAAAAUCCCCAAAUGAAGGCAACGAACGUGACCUCAAACCGGAGGAAGGUUGCGGCAAUAACAGGUCUGUGAUGCCCUUAGAUGUUCCGGGCUGCACACGUGCUACAAUGACUGUCGCAGAAAGUAUCUCAUUUAUAUAUGUAUGCAUAUACAUAUCCAACCUACCUCGAAAGUUCGGUAGGCAAUCAAUUCCAAGUGGUAAUCUCUCUUUUUUGAUCUGCACAAACCCAGGCUAUGAUAUAAUGUAUGUUAUUGAUUAGCUGUGCUCUACUUAAUUCGUGGUAGGGACAGACCAUUGCUAAUUGUUGGUCUCGUCUCAACUAGGAAUGCCUUGUACGGGUCUUUGGUUCAACAAACCACCCGGAAUACGUCCCUGCCCUUUGUACACACCGCCCGUCGCUCUUACCGAUGGACUACUUUGUGAGUUGGAGGGACUGGCGCAGCACUCGUGGCUAUGCUAUGGAAACUCCAACGAACAGUGUGGUCUAAAGGAAAGAGAAGUCG